rnacentral:rRNA from 1 species
CGAAAGGUCCGGGUAAUNUUNUUAAACUCCGUCGUGNUGGGGAUAGAGCAUUGCAAUUAUUGCUCUUCAACGAGGAAUCCCUAGUAAGCGCAAGUCAUCAGCUUGCGUUGAUUACGUCCCUGCCCUUUGUACACACCGCCCGUCGNUACUACCGAUUGAAUGGCUUAGUGAGGUCUUCGGAUUGGCCAUGAGGAACCGGCAACGGUACCUNUGCGCUUAGAAGUUGAUCAAACUUGGUCAUUUAGAGGAAGUAAAAGUCGUAACAAGGU